rnacentral:misc_RNA from 1 species
UUAAGUUCAGCGGGUAGUCCUACCUGAUUUGAGGUCAAAUGGUCAAAGUAUUGUCCUUGCGGACGAUUAGAAGCUGGAGAAGUAAACACGCUAACGUCCCAGAGGCGUAGAUAAUUAUCACACCAGUAGGCUGAAGGCGCAAACCCAGCUAAUGCAUUUAAGAGGAGCCGACCAACAAGGGCCCGCAGCCUCCACAUCCA